UACGAAGGGUGCAAGCGUUACUCGGAAUCACUGGGCGUAAAGCGUGCGUAGGCGGUUUCUUAAGUCUGUCGUGAAAGCCCUGGGCUCAACCUGGGAACUGCAGUGGAUACUGAGAAGCUAGAGUGUGUCAGAGGAUGGUGGAAUUCCCGGUGUAGCGGUGAAAUGCGUAGAGAUCGGGAGGAACAUCAGUGGCGAAGGCGGCCAUCUGGGACAACACUGACGCUGAGGCACGAAAGCGUGGGGAGCAAACAGG
rnacentral:rRNA from 1 species